GGAGAUGAUGGGCACCGACUGGGCGGGCGGGGGGAUGCCGUCAGAAAGGCCGUGCCCCUCCAGGCCUCCCCCCACGACUCCCCCCACCCCACCUGCGUCACUGGAGUGCUAGCCUGAGGAACAGCAGGGGGUGCGGCCCUGGGGGUGCAGUGGAAGGACGGAGCAGUCCUGGGCAAACGCAGGAAAGGCGGUGUGUGUGUGCGCACGCGCACACUCCCAGUCACUGGCACUUUAAGACGGAGGAGAGGAUCCACGGUAACCACGCAUGCAAGGACAGACACGCGUGCUGACCCCCACCCCGGGCACACCCAUAACUCUGCCGGCAACUCCCAAGAGAAACCGCUUCUCCAAGGGUAUUAAAAUGAAUUUGCAGCUUCCAAAGACGCGGCGACAGAGGAGGAAGCAGGACCAGAAGGCGGGGGUCCGGACAAGGAACACAGUUCACUGGGGACAAGAAAGGAGGAGGAAGCACAGCUCACCAUUUCCAGCUCUUUGUGGGCAUCCAAGGCCGUGCACUCACGCUCAGACCUUUCUUCCACUCUCUUCAGAAUGUUCUGAGCACAGGAAAAUCUGCAUUAAUUGGAUCCCGGAAGGCCUUUCCUCCCCGCCCUGCCCCCGUGCAGCGGUGGCACAACGAAGAGCCCGACUGGGGCGCAGAAGGCAGGCCCAGCUCUAAAAUGACGACCACGAGUCAGGCUCCCCCAGAGCCUUAACCAUGAAGGCCUAGUUGCUGCCUGAGAUCCCUCGGGGGGAUCAACGAGGACAUCAAAGCAACGCUGGCGCCCCGUGCUGGCUGGCGGAGUGGGCUAGGCAGGGAGGGGAUGGGCACGCUCAGGCCAGCCCCGGCCCAAGGGGUGUGCAACGUUCGAUUUUCUUGAAUUAACAAAAUGAGGCUUACGUGACCUUUACCUCAGACACGCUUCCUCGGAAAGCAUUCCCCGAUGGCUCCACACCGCCACCCGGCCUCCCCUCGCCCCCGUGCUUCCUCAGCACGUUAAGGGUCAGCAGAGACAAAUGGCCCCAGGGUCGUCCAACACCCGACAGGCACCCGUCACCUCACUCGGUCCUCAUGACAGCCCUGAAGGGCCCCGUGCGUCCAGUGCUCUGCUAUGGAACGAGGAGGCCUUCCACACAGACACCGAGGUUGCCCCACGAGCCCAGAGCCCCGCGGUGCCUGGCCAGCGCCCUGUCUCCUAGGAGGUGGGCAUGCUGUGAUUUAUACAGAAGCUACCCCCCUCCUACACUGGGCUGCAGACUGUCCAGGUCCUUAAUCAUCUGCUUACUAUGUGCUGCUUCCAAGGAGGUGCUUCCUAAGUUUGUUCAAGGAAAAAUCUCCAAAUUACCAUCAAACGUGAGCGUGGGGAGCGGGGGGUCUAGGGAGCAGAACCUUUGGGGGGGGAUGUUAUACGAGUGGGUGGGCAUUACUGACCCACCCGUAUCACCCAUAAACCAGGACCGGCUCACGUUUGACGGUAAUGGCAUGAGGCUUUGUUCCCUUCUGUAGCUGGCACAAUACCUGUCACAGGCAUUACGGUGGCUGGAAGUGACUCCAAAAAGGCUCUCACUAAACAAAAGUCCCUAAGAGCGUCUGUUUCUUCCAUGAACAAUGAUGAAGUCAGAUUCCAGAGCCCACGCCUUGACCCACUGCAGUGAGGUCCAGUCCACGUGGGAAAUGCAAGGAGGGACAAGACUGAGGGAGGUCGCAAGGCUUCCGCUGUCACAGGGCAUGGCGACAACGACCCCACCGUGUUGCUGUGGGCCUAGGGCUCACGUGGGAAAUUUGAGCUUGCCUGCAGCCUCUGGGGGCCCAGAGUGCCUCCCACGCCACCAGCAGUCCAAACCCAAGCCUCGGGAAGCUCACACACAAGCGCCAAUGGCUACGUUUUCUCCAGACCACCAGGUAAGGUGAUUUAUGAAAAAAUGUACACAAAAGUAGGUAAAAAGUUAAAAAGACACAUUGUUGAAACGAUGUGCAGCCUCACUCACAGUCAGAGAUGCAGAUUAAAACCACCGUGAAUUACCACUUAGGAUCUGGCACCUCAGUCAAGACAAAAUGAUCGACUCACGUACAGCGGUGAUGUCGAGCCAGACCCUCGCACCAGAGCAUGAAGACGGUCUCUUCCCCAGAUUUAAACAGCAGCUGUCUCCCUGAAAUGCCCAGUACAGAUCCAGUACUUCUGACUCCCUCAAGAGUUUUAAGUCGGCCACCAUCAUUGGAAGACCACAGGUCAGCAAACCAAAGCCUGUGGGCUGGCCAACUGGAAGCAUGAAGAAAGUUUAACUGGACCGUCCAUCCUUUCACGCGCUAUUUGCAGCUAUGACAUUACAGGCGAGCGGAGUGGUUUUGAAAGAGGCUAUACGGCCCACAAAGCCUAAAAUACUUACUAUUUGGUCCUUUAAGAACAGAUGAUCCCUUCUAUUUCCUGACCAGCAUUGUAGCAACCUGUGGCUCUUGAAGCAGAAAUUAGUUUAAGUUACACAGAAUUAAAUGUUCAGCUCCUCAGUUGCACCGGCCAUAUUUCAAACGCUCAAUAAUCACAUGUGGCUGGUGACUUUGGGGGACGCAAAUAUAGAACAUUUCCAACGUUGCAGAAAGUUCUGCUCAGCAGCAGUGUUCUAGACUAUUCCAAGGGACAAGGACUACUCUGUGCUUUGACUGCUGGGCACAACUCAGCCAUCUAGGUGCAACAUCUCCUUUGUAGAUUUUUUUGGUUACCUGGUUUAUUUUGGUGUUUAAAAAAUUUUUAGUUUUGAGUCAGUUUUUGGUAGCUUCUAUUUUCCUAGGAAGGCCAGCAUCUUAUCACUUUACAUCUGCUUUCCUUAGGACUGAGUUUGUGUGUGUAUCCGCCCCCCACCCCGAAUGUCUUAAACCUGACCUCUUAGUUCAAUUUUGUAUUUAAUCCUUAUUUAAUAAUUAAAGCAUGCAGGUUGUGAAUUUUUAUCCAAAUGCAGUUUUGGCAGCAUUCCACGUGUUCUUAAAAUGUAGAAUCCUCCUCAUUAUCUUUGAAAUAAUCUGUCAAUAUAAGAUUUACUUUCUUAUCUCAAAGCUUAGGAGCAUUUAAACAUUUCUGAUUUGAGGUUUUUACGUUGUUUACAUUUAUUUUCUUGCUUCACUGCACUAUAGUGAGUGAUUAUAACUGAUACAAUUUUAAUAAAUAUUGAACUUUU